GGUGAUUGGCGGGCGGGCGGGGAGGUCGGAAGUACUUUGUUUUUUAUGCUAAUGAGGGAGUGGGGCUCGUCCGUAUUUACGUUGAGGCGGGAGCCGCCGCCCUUCAUUCACCCACAUGGUCCUUCGAGGCGCCGCCGCCGCCCGGGCCCGCCCGCCCGCCCGCCCGCGCCUUCGCCUUCGCGCCACUCCGCGCCCCGCGCCCGCUCGCCGCCCGCCCGCCCGCCCGCGCCCCCUCCGCGGAGCCCCGAGCGCGGCUCGACCCGGGCCGGCCACGCCGAGCACCCCACCCCGGGCCUGGGGCCUCGGGCCGGAGUGGCGCGGAGGCCGGCGAAGAUGGUGGCGGCUGCUCCGUCAUACACGUGGACCUAGCAGCACCCGAAGCUUUGCCCAACGAUACUGGCUGAGAAGGAAGUUUGCCUGCGUGGUGUCUGCCAAUUUGGAGGAAGAAAAGGAGCUGCUGCCUGCAUCUGGGCUUCCUCGCAAGCAGGAAUGCAGAGCGCGUCACCUUGUGAGACUGGAGACUGAUGGAGUCAGGAUAAUGUCAAAGUGCUUACAGUGCAGGUAG
rnacentral:lncRNA from 1 species